rnacentral:rRNA from 1 species
UACGGAGGGUGCGAGCGUUGUCCGGAAUCACUGGGCGUAAAGGGCGCGUAGGCGGCGCGAGCAGUCGGUCGUGAAAGUCCGGAGCUCAACUCCGGAUCGGCGGUCGAUACUCUCGUGCUUGAGCACUGUAGAGGCAGGUGGAAUUCCGGGUGUAGCGGUGGAAUGCGUAGAGAUCGGGAGGAACCCCUAAAGCGAAGGCAGCCGGCUAGACGAUGAUUGACGCUGAGGGACGAUAGCGUGGGGAGCGAACAGG